GGAACCCUCUGGUGACAAGCAGAGUGGGGCUUUUCUUUCUCUGCAUUACCACCUGGGAGGGAGGGACAGUUUUGCGUUGGGAACCUGUGGUGGCACUAGAUGGUGAGUCAGGUCCACAGGGCCUCGCUUGAAGCAAACCUGGGAACCCAGCCUCAAGGGCCCAUCCCCGAGUCCAGCGGAAGGCUCAACUCCACCAUGCGCUACCACUCAAGGACACUGAGCCUUCUUUGUGGCUGUUGGGCUGGGGAGAAACACAGGAUGUAAGCAGUGGCCUCCUCUGCUACCACAUCCAGACCUAUGGUGAGUUCUGGUGGUUUGAGACUUUUGGGGAAACAGACCCUGGCUUGGUGUAGGAAGGUGGGGGAAAUGUGUGUAGAUUGACUGUAGACAGAGAAGGACAGACUGAAAAGAUGUCAUGGUGCUUGUGGAGAUGACAGUCACCUCCUGAUUCUCUGGCCGCUUGUUUCCCUCUCC
rnacentral:lncRNA from 1 species